rnacentral:lncRNA from 1 species
UGAUGACGUCACCCCCGGGAAACUCCGCGAAACCCGGAAGCGACAACGUCGGCGGGUGAGUGGGCGGAGCGAGGACGUUGGCGUCGGCAGCAGCGAGGAAGUGACGUGGGCAGCGAGCGCAGAAGAUGCGACCCCCACGAUCUUCGCCAUGUCGAGCCAAGAACUCUGCGCUCUGCUGGCCAGGCUCCCCGUGGACUGGGACGACACGGACGACGACGAGAGCACGGGAGACGAGAGUUGGGCUCCGCCCAUCGCGCCAGUCUGCGAUCGUCGCAAGGUCCGUGGGGACCCACGUCACUUCCAGGGGGGUGAGAAGCGGCAACAACAACGGCGGCGUUCCUCCAGCGAGGAGGUGGGCAGCCUCCAGCCCGAAUGGCCAGAGUACUGCCCAUGGGAGGUUAUCGCGCCAUGGGUCCAGGAUGUCCGCAGGGUGGAUGACCCUUGGAGUCACCGGUGGGAGGACACGGAUGACGAAAGCGAUGAUGACGUGGAUUUUCGGUGGGCGGUCGGUGCCGGGAUGGCUCCGCCCAGCGUGCGCGUCCGAGAUCAUCGCGGCGUCCGUGAUGACCCAUGUGACUUCCGGGGGUACGAGGUGGACACGGACGACGACCAGGAUGACGCCGUUUGGGCAGUCGGUGCCGGGAUGGCUCCGCCCAUCGCGCCCAUCCAGGAUCGUCACGAGGUCCGUGGAGACCCACGUCCCCCCCAGCAGUGUGAGGAAAGCUGGUGGAAGAGGGCGACGGGAUGUCGCCAGCCAGCAACUGCGCUGCCGGGACUGCCUCGCAGGGAAUCCUCCAUUCCUGCUCCAGUCGCCGACCCGCCUUCCCUCUGCCCGGACGUUCCCCAGCGAAAUGGCAGCGCAGCACCAGCGCCCACACCUGCUGGAGAAGACGUCCACCCCCCUCCACACCACACACCUACCACCAUCUCCAGCGACGUGCCCAGCCCCAUGUGGGACAGCCCAAUUGUCCCGGGACCCUUCAGUGGGGCAGCAGACACUGAUAAGACCACC